AUUGAACGCUAACGGCGUGCUUAACACAUGCAAGUCGAGCGGCAGCAUGACUGUAGCAAUACAGUUGAUGGCGAGCGGCGGACGGGUGAGUAAUGCAUAGGAAUCUGCCUUGUAGUGGGGGAUAACCCGGGGAAACUCGGGCUAAUACCGCAUAAUCUCUACGGAGCAAAGUGGGGAUCGUAAGACCUCACGCUAAAAGAUGAGCCUAUGUUGGAGUAGCUAGUUGGUGAGGUAAUGGCUCACCAAGGCGACGAUCCAUAGCUGGUCUGAGAGGAUGAUCAGCCACACUGGGACUGAGACACGGCCCAGACUCCUACGGGAGGCAGCAGUGGGGAAUAUUGGACAAUGGGCGAAAGCCUGAUCCAGCAACGCCGUGUGUGUGAAGAAGGCCUUCGGGUUGUAAAGCACUUUUAGUUGGGAAGAAAAGCUCAUGGGUAAUAUCCAUGAGUGCUGACGUUACCAACAGAAAAAGCACUGGCUAACUCUGUGCCAGCAGCCGCGGUAA
rnacentral:rRNA from 1 species